rnacentral:rRNA from 1 species
CCUUGACAUGUACGGAAUCCUUUAGAGAUAGAGGAGUGCUCGAAAGAGAGCCGUAACACAGGUGCUGCAUGGCUGUCGUCAGCUCGUGUCGUGAGAUGUUGGGUUAAGUCCCGCAACGAGCGCAACCCUUGUCAUUAGUUGCUACAUUCAGUUGGGCACUCUAAUGAGACUGCCGGUGACAAACCGGAGGAAGUGGGAUGACGUCAAGUCCUCAUGGCCCUUAUAGGUGGGGCUACACACGUCAUACAAUGGAUGGUACAAAGGGUCGCCAACCCGCGAGGGGGAGCCAAUCCCAUAAAGCCAUUCGUAGUCCGGAUCGCAGUCUGCAACUCGACUGCGUGAAGUCGGAAUCGCUAGUAAUCGUGGAUCAGAAUGUCACGGUGAAUACGUUCCCGGGUCUU